AUACGUAGGCAGCAAGCGUUGUUCGGAGUUACUGGGCGUAAAGAGUGCGUAGGUGGUUCUCUAAGUUCGGUGUGAAAUCUCCCGGCUCAACUGGGAGGGUGCGCCGAAAACUGGAGGGCUUGAGUAUGGGAGAGGAGAGCGGAAUUCCUGGUGUAGCGGUGAAAUGCGUAGAUAUCAGGAGGAACACCUGUGGUGCAGACGGCUCUCUGGACCAUUACUGACACUGAGGCACGAAAGCGUGGGGAGCAAACAGGAUUAGAUACCCUGGUAGUCCACGCCCUAAACGAUGCAUACUUGGUGUGGGUCAUUCAGUUGAUCCGUGCCGGAGCUAACGCGUUAAGUAUGCCGCCUGGGGAGUACGGUCGCAAGGCUGAA
rnacentral:rRNA from 1 species